CCGCUUUUUAUUGGUUACGGUGAGUUUUACGCGUUCUGCGAAAACGAGAGGGAAUCCGGUGGAAAACCGGAACAGUACCCGCUACUGUAAGGUCUUUUAAAAGAGAAAAGUUUCUUCUACCACGGCGUAAGCUGGAAGGUUUGCUUUUCGGGACUAAGUCAGGAAACCUGCCGUGACUACACGGAUAAU
rnacentral:ncRNA from 2 species